CCUACGGGAGGCUGCAGUAGGGAAUAUUGCUCAAUGGGGGAAACCCUGAAGCAGCAACGCCGCGUGGAGGAUGAAGGUUUUCGGAUUGUAAACUCCUUUUGUUAGAGAAGAGAAUGACGGUAUCUAACGAAUAAGCACCGGCUAACUCCGUGACAGCAGCCGCGGUAAUACGGAGGGUGCAAGCGUUACUCGGAAUCACUGGGCGUAACGAGCGCGUAGGCGGGAUAGCAAGUCAGAUGUGAAAUCCUAUGGCUUAACCAUAGAACUGCAUUUGAAACUGUUAUUCUAGAGUAUGGGAGAGUUAGGUGGACUUCUUGGUGUAGGGGUAACAUCCGUAGAGAUCAAGAGGAAUCCUCAUUGCGAAGGUGACCUGCUAGAACAUAACUGACGCUGAUGCGCGAAAGCGUGGGGAGCAAACAGGAUUAGAUACCCCAGUAGUC
rnacentral:rRNA from 1 species